AAUCAACGCUGGCGGCGUGCCUCAGACAUGCAAGUCGAACGAUUAAAGCUCCCUUCGGGGAGUGCAUAAAGUGGCGCACGGGUGAGUAACACGUAAGUAAUCUACCUUCGAGUGGGGAAUAACGUUCGGAAACGAACGCUAAUACCGCAUAAUGCAGCGGCAUCUAUGAUGACAGUUGUUAAAGAUUUAUCGCUUGAAGAGGAGC
rnacentral:rRNA from 1 species